CUCCUAGAUGUUCUGGGCCGCACGCGCGCUACACUGAACAGUUCAACAAGUCUUAACCUUGGCCGAUAGGUCUGGGUAAUCUUUGAACGCUGUUCGUGAUUGGGAUAGACCUUUGCAAUUAUGGGUCUUCAACGAGGAAUUCCUAGUAAACGCAAGUCAUCAGCUUGCAUUGAUUACGUCCCUGCCCUUUGUACACACCGCCCGUCGCUCCUACCGAUGAGCAAUCCGGUGAAUAAUUCGGACCGAUAGAUUACCUGGUUCGCCAGGUUUUUUGUUGGAAAGUCUAGUGAACCUUAUUGCUUAGAGGAAGGAGAAGUCGUAACA
rnacentral:rRNA from 1 species